rnacentral:rRNA from 1 species
GAUCCUGGCUCAGGAUGAACGCUGGCGGCGUGCCUAAUACAUGCAAGUCGUACGGAGCACUUCAGCUUGCUGGGGAGCUCAGUGGCGAACGGGUGAGUAAUACGUAAGUAACCUGCCUGCAAGGACUGGGAUAACACCUGGAAACGGGCGCUAAUACCGGAUAGGUAACAGAGGGGCAUCCCACUGUUAUUAAAGGUUAAAAACACAAGCAGAUGGGCUUACGGUGCAUUAGCUGGUUGGUGAGGUAACGGCCCACCAAGGCGAUGAUGCAUAGCCGGCCUGAGAGGGUGAACGGCCACAUUGGGACUGAGACACGGCCCAGACUCCUACGGGAGGCAGCAGUAGGGAAUUUUCGGCAAUGGGCGCAAGCCUGACCGAGCAACGCCGCGUGAGUGAAGAAGAAUUUCGGUUCGUAAAGCUCUGUUGUAAGGGAAGAAUAACACGGAGAGAAUCCGUGCAUGACGGUACCUUACCAGAAAGCCACGGCUAACUACGUGCCAGCCGCGGC